UAAAAGGGUAGAAACCCAAAAACACACCCUUGGGUGCGUUCCUGGGAUCGAUCGAACAGAAGAACAGGGUGAAAACCCUUGCCAUUGCUAAUCUACUCAAUUGAUCAAGAAAUUCAAGUCUAGUCAGAUGCAUGUCUCAAGUUUAUCGAUUAUCUAUGCAUACAUAGUGAAAGGGCGUGAAGGAAGAAGGUACAAGCAUUAGGAAAACGGAAGGCACGCAAGACCGAGGUAAAACUCCACUAUAGGCGAUUUGGAGAUAUGGAGCGAGCACGUGUUCAAGCCUUAUUAUACCAAGCGCUUCCGCUAGUUUAUAUGCAUACUUUUUGGGUCCAUGUCUUGUUAUUUUGUUUAAUCUUGUUAGAAGUCUUACACUUGAAAACUUGUUGUCUUUGUUUGGGGUAGUUUAAUGCUAAUAGGGUCGUAGAUGGA